rnacentral:tRNA from 1 species
GAGUCGGUAGCUCAGUCGGUAGAGCAUCGCCCUUUUUAAGGCGAGGGUCCUGGGUUCGAAUCCCAGCCGACUCA